rnacentral:sRNA from 1 species
UACUAUCGUUAAAGGUAGACCAUGAUGC